rnacentral:misc_RNA from 1 species
AAAUGCGAUAAGUAAUGUGAAUUGCAGAAUUCGGUGAAUCAUCGAAUCUUUGAACGCACAUUGCGCCCGCCAGUAUUCUGGCGGGCAUGCCUGUUCGAGCGUCAUUUCAACCAUCAAGCCCCCGGCUUGUGUUGGGGACCUGCGGCUGCCCGCAGGCCCUGAAAAACAGUGGCGGGCUCGCUGUCACACCGAGCGUAGUAGCAUACAUUCUCGCUCAGGGCGUGCUGCGGGUUCCGGCCGUUAAACGACCUUCAUAACCCAAGGUUGACCUCGGAUCAGGUAGGAAGACCCGCUGAACUUAAGC